UGAAAAAGUCUAGUGAAGCUUGAUCUGUAUUGAGGGUUCGAUGGAUUUUGAUGUCGAAUUUGUCGUAUUCUUGCCUGUGUUGGCAGUAAAUGUUCAUCUGAAUCCCUGUUUUUAGGUUUUGGUGUUUAUGGACGAUCUGAGGGGGAGAAACAAAGUAUAACAAUAAAUAAGGGAACUGAAAACAGAUAUGUAGUGUAUAUAAAAAAAUGAAUUGGAUGGAAGAAAAAAAUUACGUGCUAUAGCUUUUGUCCUCAUUUUUUCGUCACUGAAGCUGAAGCGACGAUGGAGAGCAACACCAGAUAAAAAUCACUGUUAGAUGCAGCAAAAUAGCAGGUAAUCAAAAAACUAUUCAACAAGUGGCAUGUGCACCACACAAUUACUGUGAGCAGCAUGAAAACAUGGCACAUACAAAUAGCUAUUUCUCAAACAUUGGGGUUAUGCAAACACACAAAAUCACUGUCAGAUCCAGGAAAAUAAGGAGAAACAGCUAUUUUCUCAAAAUCACUGUCAUGCAACACACAAAAUCACUGUACUUAGGCAGGAAAAUAAGGAGAAACAGUUAUUUUCUCAAACAUGGGGGUGAUGCAACACACAAAAUCACUGUACUUAGGCAAGAAAAUAAGGAGAAACAGUUAUUUUCUCAAACAUGGGGGUUAUGCAAACACACAAAAUCACUGUCAGAUUCAGGAAAAUAAGGGGAAACAACUAUUUUCUCAAAAUCACUGUCAUGCAACACACAAAAUCACUGUACUUAGGCAGGAAAAUAAGGAGAAACAGCUAUUUUCUCAAACAUGGGGGUUAUGCAAACACACAAAAUCACUGUCAGAUUCAGGAAAAUAA